UGAGGAUCUACUUGAUUUUGGCAAUGAGUUGCUCAAACCAUGGAGUCAGAGCGGAGAAGGUAUAUCACACGGCGUAGGCCGUGUUCCUAGAGCGGUGGUUGCGGGGGCGGGACUCGGGCGCACCGAACCGCAAAGACACGCCGCGCCUUGCGUAGCCCCUAUAAGGGCUUCGCGGGAGACGGAUGCAGAACACGCGCCAGCUCCUCCCCCAGCGCUGUCGCAACCGUUUGGCUGCG